GGUGAACGCUGGCGGCGUGCUUAAGACAUGCAAGUCGAACGGCAGUCUUCGGACUGUAGUGGCGCACGGGUGAGUAACGCGUAACUGACCUACCCCAAAGUCGCGGAUAACGAUUCGAAAGAAUCGCUAAUACGUGAUGUGCUGUCAGAUUGUGUUCUGCCAGUAAAGAUUGAUUGCUUUGGGAUGGGGUUGCGUUCCAUCAGCUAGUUGGUGGGGUAAAGGCCCACCAAGGCGACGACGGAUAGCCGGCCUGAGAGGGUGGCCGGCCACAGGGGCACUGAGACACGGGUCCCACUCCUACGGGAGGCAGCAGUUAGGAAUCUUCCACAAUGGGCGAAAGCCUGAUGGAGCGACGCCGCGUGAGGGAUGAAGGUCUUCGGAUCGUAAACCUCUGAAUCAGGGACGAAAGACACUUCGGUGGGAUGACGGUACCUGAGUAAUAGCACCGGCUAACUCCGUGCCAGCCGCCGCCGUAACAC
rnacentral:rRNA from 1 species